rnacentral:rRNA from 1 species
UACGUAGGGUGCGAGCGUUGUCCGGAAUUACUGGCCGUAAAGAGCUCGUAGGUGGUUUGUCGCGUUGUCCGUGAAAACUCACAACUCAAUUGUGGGCGUGCGGGCGAUACGGGCAGACUGGAGUACUGCAGGGGAGACUGGAAUUCCUGGUGUAGCGGUGGAAUGCGCAGAUAUCAGGAGGAACACCGGUGGCGAAGGCGGGUCUCUGGGCAGUAACUGACGCUGAGGAGCGAAAGCGUGGGGAGCGAACAGG